UCAGAGGUCACGGUUAGCAUCAUGCUAGGUUGAAGCUGCGCUCUGGCUGCUCUUCUCAAGUACGGCGUUAGCUAGCUAGCUAGCAUGUAAUACACAGGACCACGUGUACAGCAGGUACCAAGUCUGCUCUGGCACCACACCUCAGAGAGUGAAGAUGUUGGCCAGGAGUGACAGACUUAACCACUGAGGUUUUCUCAUGUCCGGUCGACACCUUGAGUGCCAGUGGAGAAACAUCAGCAUCAGCAUCAGCAGGCUUCUCAAGGUGAUGCUGCUGAAGGAUGACACAAGGAAUCGCAUGGGGCUCCCUUCCAGCCUCAUGGAUGUGGCUCUGGCCUGAGGAGGAGUGGAUAGGCCUCUGACCUGGCUUACAGUGACUCUACAUUGUUUUGAUUCUGUGCAAAGCAUUGUUAGUGCAGACACAUUCGAGACGGCGCCGUCUUAUGUAGCUUAUGUGGAUCUUGCACUGGAAGGGUUACCUCCUUAUACUCCUUAUCCACUCCUGAAGAUGAGGGCCAUUGUCUGAGAGCCAUUGUCUGAGAGCUUGUCGCUCAAUGUGCGGCCUUUUGACGGCAGCAGAGACACGACACCGGGCUCAUCUGCUGGCAUUCUGUCUUGAUGAGAUGCAGCCAAUUAGUGUGAGCCACUCAGCCCGGCAUCUGUCUGCAGCGACCCGAGGAAUGAAAGAAGCAACAACAACACACACCGAGUGGCUCGCUGCCCAGCCUGAGUCACCCCUACCAGUCAUAAUGCAUCGGCCAGGACACAAGUCAUUGUAGAGGAGAGGAGAGGAGGAGGCGGAGAGGGGCGCAGCACACCGUCUGUGGCACAUUUAUACCAGACGUUUGAUGAGAAGGCCAGAGAGGGGGAGAGGAAUUGAAUAUUCAUAGGGGCACCGGUGAGGUUGAUGUGUAAUAGUAUCUACUGGCUGCUUUUAAGCCUGUGUGUGUGUGUGGAGACGCGACCCAGACGGACUCUAAGUGCCAGUUUCUAUCAGACCAAGAGGUGUGUCAUGUCACCCUUUUAUGAAACCUAAUGCCUACUUACUGUAUGCCAGAUGUGAUGAUAGCUGAGGCGGCUGCGCCCCGGAUAAUAUAAUCAGAGAGAUCAAAAGUGCACCGAAGGCAUUAAAAGUCUUGCAUCAUUCAUACAUACUGUGACUCAGAAUAAGAAUAUUACUGUCCUCUUAGGGCUUAGUCACACCAGCCUUUAUAAUAUAAUAUUAUAAUUGAAUCACCACCAUCAUUGUGUUUGAUCGUAGCGGCAAAGUAAAUCUGCGCUAGGGAUGCAUGAUGAUAUCGGCACGUCAUCGGUAUCGGUGGAUACAGGUUUGAAAACGAAGCACCGGCUUCGGCCAGAAAUGAACAUUUCCUCCGAUAUGACAGGUCGAUAUGUUAUGCUACAUAAAAAUGGCGUGCUUCACAGGGCGCCAGAGAUGCGACCAAAAACCUGUCAAGUGCGCCUGGCAUUUAACUGUCGGUCUUUGUGUGUGUAUGUGUGUAACGUUAUUCUUUUCCCCGACUCACACCCGAAAAAUAACUUUCUGUGGGUGUGUGUGUGUGUGUGUGUGUG